UAUAGUCCCUGACCACAAAUAUAUGGACAGGGACCACAAAUAUAUAAUCCCUGACCAUAUAUUUGUGGUCAGGGACAAAAAG